GAUGAAGAACGUAGCGAAAUGCGAUAAGUAAUGUGAAUUGCAGAAUUCAGUGAAUCAUCGAAUCUUUGAACGCACAUUGCGCCCCUUGGUAUUCCGAGGGGCAUGCCUGUUCGAGCGUCAUUAUAACCCCUCAAGCUCAGCUUGGUGUUGGGGCCUGCUGCACUGGCAGCCCUUAAAAUCAGUGGCGGCGCCAUCUGGCUCUAAGCCUAGUAAUUCUUCUCGCUAUGGAGUCCUGGUGGAUGCUUGCCAUCAACCCCCAAUUUUUCUAUGGUUGACCGCGGAUCAGGUAGGGAUACCCGCUGAACUUAAGCAUAUCAAUAAGCGGAGGA
rnacentral:misc_RNA from 1 species